rnacentral:rRNA from 1 species
AACGAACGCUGGCGGCAUGCCUAACACAUGCAAGUCGAACGAGACCUUCGGGUCUAGUGGCGCACGGGUGCGUAACGCGUGGGAACCUGCCCUUAGGUUCGGAAUAACUCCCCGAAAGGGGUGCUAAUACCGGAUAAUGUCUUCGGACCAAAGAUUUAUCGCCUUUGGAUGGGCCCGCGUUGGAUUAGCUAGUUGGUAGGGUAAAAGCCUACCAAGGCGACGAUCCAUAGCUGGUCUGAGAGGAUGAUCAGCCACACUGGGACUGAGACACGGCCCAGACUCCUACGGGAGGCAGCAGUGGGGAAUAUUGGACAAUGGGCGAAAGCCUGAUCCAGCAAUGCCGCGUGAGUGAUGAAGGCCUUAGGGUUGUAAAGCUCUUUUACCCGGGAUGAUAAUGACAGUACCGGGAGAAUAAGCGCCGGCUAACUCGGUG